UUUAGGAUUCAGCAAAAUGACCAAGGGAUGUCCAGAUAAGUAAGAAAUUAACAGAUGAGAAGCUUACAACGGGUGCAAUAUUCAGAUUUAUUCAGAGAGGGAUAUAUUCAGAUGAAUACGUUUACCUUUAUUUAUGUUUGUACUAGUGUCAGCGCUUCGGCGUAAUUAGUUUUUUGUAGAUGCAUACAAAUAUAUAUAUUUACUCGACUCCAUAACUAUCUAUGUCAAUAAUUCUCAAAUUUAUUUCAUUCAAAUCAUAGAAGUAGAAAAAUGAUUAUUGACGAUCAUUGGUCAUGCACUUCAUUAAUCCCUAAUGAAGCUUGAUCCAAACGUAUAAAGGCUUGAACUUUAAGCCACUGUGGACUUUGAAGCCUGCAAAAAGAAAUCUCAUAAAGU
rnacentral:lncRNA from 1 species